CACGUAGGGGGCGAGCGUUGUCCGGAUUUACUGGGCGUAAAGAGCGUGUAGGCGGCCACGCAGGUCCGUUGUGAAAACUGGAGGCUCAACCUUCAGACGUCGACGGAAACCGUGUGGCUAGAGUCCGGAAGAGGAGAGUGGAAUUCCUGGUGUAGCGGUGAAAUGCGCAGAUAUCAGGAAGAACACCAAUGGCGAAGGCAGCUCUCUGGGACGGUACUGACGCUGAGACGCGAAAGCGUGGGGAGCGAACAGG
rnacentral:rRNA from 1 species